CCUACGGGGGGCUGCAGUAGGGAAUAUUGGACAAUGGACGAAAGUCUGAUCCAGCCAUGCCGCGUGAGCGAAGACGGCCCUUGGGUUGUAAAGCUCUUUUCUGAGGGAAGAAUAUCCGGAGUAGGAAAUGCCUCCGGCUUGACGGUACCUCAGGAAUAAGGAACGGCUAACUCCGUGCCAGCAGCCGCGGUAAUACGGAGGUUCCAAGCGUUGUUCGGAAUUACUGGGCGUAAAGGGAGCGUAGGCGGACAGGUCAGUCUGAAGUGGAAUUCCGGGGCUCAACUUCGGACUUGCUUCGGAUACUACCUGUCUUGAGUUCGCGAUAGGAAGAUGGAAUUCAGGGUGUAGCGGUGAAAUGCACAGAUAUCCUGAGGAACACCGGUGGCGAAAGCGGUCUUCUGGCGCGAAACUGACGCUGAGGCUCGAAAGCGUGGGUAGCAAACGGGAUUAGAUACCCCUGUAGUC
rnacentral:rRNA from 1 species